CUGUUGCUUACAUGAAUCAGCUCUGCAAGUUUGGAGACUAAUUUUGGAAACUGCAGCUUGGGAGUGAUAAGUCCAGGUUAUAAAGACACUCCAACUGUGUGUGAGCCUGUGAGAAUGAAAAGCAGAUGCAGCUUGUUGAAAGAGAAUGGAUCCCUGUCCAUCCCAGACACUGUAACAGCUCUUGGUCUGAAAGCACGUGGGAUGAGGUCAGGAUUUUGUACACAUCACUCCAUGGAAAAUAGUGCUGUUGCCAAAGUGCUGCUGCUGGCUCUUGGACUUCUUCAUCCUCCACUUUCAAAACAGGAAUGACAUAGAAUGGGAAAGGACGUUGCCCUGAGUGAGAGACCUCACAGAGCCUGAGUCGAACACCAGCUUUGAGCCCUUUCUGAUGCUUCCCACACUGACUGCUGAAGGAGCCUACAUGAUUUUCACAAACUGUUCCCAAGGCUGACAUUACAUGAGGUGAGUCUGGGCCCUGGGGAAGCUCUCAAUGGUUUUCCUGGGCUCUCUUCAAGGCUAUCAGAAAACAAAUACAACAUUCUGGGAUGAUAUAGUUACACUUGCUUUUUGUGAACUAUUGAUAUUAGCUGUAUUUCGUGCACAGGGAAAAAGCAUUACCCUAUUCUCCCUACAUCACUGCAUUGAAAUCCUAUGGUUUUGUGUGUGGUUAAAUUUCUAAGACACUGUGGAAUGCUGUUCUCUGUUCUGUGUGGGUCAGCUGAGGCUGUCUCUAGGGGCCAGGCCAUGGUGCAGGAGGAGGUGCUCAAGGAGGAAGGAAUGUCUUUUUCCCAUUGAGAAGUAUGCUGGUGUUCUGCAGUAACACCAGCAUGCAGUUACAGCGAUGCUUCCAAUUACCUUCGUACGAGGUCUUUUUCAAUACAGCAUUUGAACAGCUCAUAAACUUCUUAGUUGUUCUUGAGAUACUUCUGUAAUGGAAACUGAGGUUCAGUGAGCUGCGUGACUUUCAUUGGGUUACAUGAGGAUUCUGAGAAACCUGGAAAUUAGUCUCUAGUCCCAGUGUUGUUCCGUAACCACUGAGCUCCCUUCUGUAGCAUUUUGGGACAAGGCUAUAAGAGCUCUGCGUGUUUCCUAAUAAAAGUUAGCAAGACUUCA
rnacentral:lncRNA from 1 species